rnacentral:rRNA from 1 species
CAGUGAAAUUGAACUCGCUGUGAAGAUGCAGUGUACCCGCGGCAAGACGGAAAGACCCCGUGAACCUUUACUAUAGCUUGACACUGAACAUUGAGCCUUGAUGUGUAGGAUAGGUGGGAGGCUUUGAAGUGUGGACGCCAGUCUGCAUGGAGCCGACCUUGAAAUACCACCCUUUAAUGUUUGAUGUUCUAACGUGGACCCGUUACCCGGGUUGCGGACAGUGUCUGGUGGGUAGUUUGACUGGGGCGGUCUCCUCCUAAAGAGUAACGGAGGAGCACGAAGGUUGGCUAAUCCUGGUCGGACAUCAGGAGGUUAGUGCAAUGGCAUAAGCCAGCUUGACUGCGAGCGUGACGGCGCGAGCAGGUGCGAAAGCAGGUCAUAGUGAUCCGGUGGUUCUGAAUGGAAGGGCCAUCGCUCAACGGAUAAAAGGUACUCCGGGGAUAACAGGCUGAUACCGCCCAAGAGUUCAUAUCGACGGCGGUGUUUGGCACCUCGAUGUCGGCUCAUCACAUCCUGGGGCUGAAGUAGGUCCCAAGGGUAUGGCUGUUCGCCAUUUAAAGUGGUACGCGAGCUGGGUUUAGAACGUCGUGAGACAGUUCGGUCCCUAUCUGCCGUGGGCGCUGGAGAACUGAGGGGGGCUGCUCCUAGUACGAGAGGACCGGAGUGGACGCAUCACUGGUGUUCGGGUUGUCAUGCCAAUGGCACUGCCCGGUAGCUAAAUGCGGAAGAGAUAAGUGCUGAAAGCAUCUAAGCACGAAACUUGCCCCGAGAUGAGUUCUCCCUGAGACUUAGAGUCUCCUGAAGGAACGUUGAAGACGACGACGUUGAUAG